rnacentral:rRNA from 1 species
AUGGAGAUCAUAUAUGCCGAAUUACCCCCAGGUAAGCAUUGCUUUCAUGAGUUUUCAGCUCUGCUAAUGUGCAAUGCCAACCAAACUGGAAGCAGUGCAAUUUCAAUCCUUGCCAUUACUGGGAAUGCCUUAAGGGUGAGGAAACAGUCAGGUAAUGUUGUGGAAGAAAAAUGGUCCAGACCUGAACCAAGAAUAAGGAAAUUGAAUGUUGAUGCUUCCUACCACUUGGAAGAAGGUACAGGAGCAACUGCAGCAGUCAUCAGAGAUCAUGACGGCUCCUUUGUACUCCCUCCGUUCCUAAAUAUUUGUCUUUCUAGAGAUUUCAACAAAUGA